rnacentral:rRNA from 1 species
ACGGAGGGUGCAAGCGUUAUUCGGAUUUAUUGGGCGUAAAGGGAGCGCAGGCGGUUUUUUAGGUCGGAUGUGAAAUCCCGUGGCUUAACCGCGGAAGUGCAUUCGAAACCGUAAGACUUGAGUAUGGUAGAGGGAAGCGGAAUUCCCGGUGUAGCGGUGAAAUGCGUAGAUAUCCGGAGGAACACCUGUGGCGAAGGCGGUUUCCCGGACUAAAACUGACGCUGAGGCGCGAAAGUGUGGGGAGCAAACAG